CUUUGAAAAAAAGAAAUAUGCUACAAAUGUGGUACUUCAGCACCUCCGUAUCAGUGCAGGGGGAACCUACCAAAAGGGCAUGCUGAUACCCCUUUUUGUCCCAGCUGGACUUCUCACCAUCAGUCAGUGAAGUGACACAAAUGAAUCCCCCGAUGCCCAAAGAGUGUGCAAAAUGCCAUCAUAGUGCUGUAUUUUACCCGAUUGCUGUGGUUUGCUUCUCUCCCUUCAAGUCUUCUUAAAGACCCCAACCAGCACAUGAAAGGCAAAAUACCAUCCCCUUUUCUUGCUUUUCCCUAGUGCCAUGGCCUAAUUUCUAACAUAACAUUUUUGGCAAGUUCCAGUGCAAGGCUCCUUGUUUGGUAUUACUGAAAUCUUUCCAUUUGGAUUAAUUUGGUUGGUGUUUAACUUUGCCUUAUAUGCUUAAGUAACAGGCUGAGCAGAAUGCUUGUUACCUUGGGCAACCCAAAACUGACUGCUGAACUGCCAGUCAUUAACCAUUUACCUGGGACUUAACAACACUAUUUACUAAUCAAUAGUGAGAACCAUGGUAACCUUGGCUCUACAGAGCCUGAUAUCUUAUGGGAACCACGCUAAAGAAACACCAAUUCCUAGUCUUUAAUACCUGGUUCUUUUCUGCAAGGCUUCAGAGAAAGGUAAAUUUCCUGUUUUCCAUAUUAAUAAUCUCCUUUAAAGAAUAAAUUUGCAUUUCACCACCAUUUUUUUUUAAAUUUUUUCCCUUUCUCUUUUAACAGUUGUGAUGUGGCAGAAGAGGCAUGGUAUGGAUGGAGCAGAAGAAUGACGCAAGGAGGAGGUGUCUGAUGAGGCAGAAAGAAACCUAAUCUUUAAAUGCAGAUGAACUCCCCCAGAGACAGCUGAAACGGAGGGGAGAUCAGUGGGGAUGCUGUAUCACCUGACACAUCUGCUGCUGAUACGCCUGCCAGGAAAUGGGGAGUUGUGAGCAAGGUUUGAACCCUUAGGCUUUACUAAGGAGUAGCAAAUACAGCACAGAAUGAGGUCCAACAAGGUGGGAGGCAGAUGUGGUGAGCCUCUGGAAACUGCUGCCUCCAUCUAUGGCUGGGCUUGAAUGGAGUCAAAACAUGUCUGUGAAUAAUAGCAUACCGUUACAAGUCCAAGUCUUACACAGACACAAAUCAGGUUUACUUUCCUGAACAAAAAUGGGUUUGGACAUCAUAAUGAGCUACAUAUCACCUAGUCGGGUUUAUUCACCCCCUACAAUGGCUCAUCUUACCCUGAAGAUAAAGGAACUGCUGGCUGACCUCGUGCUUCAGAGUUCAUGGGCAGGGAGCCACUUUUGGAGGAUGGUUGACCUACACCUUGGAGCUACAGCAUCUGUUAGCAUCAGGCAAAAUACGACUAUUCAGGAAGAGCUGCCCUACACUUCGUUACAGGAACACUGGUCUCAAAAUUCUCCCCUCACUUCAGAGUCCACCUGCUCAGUGCCUUCCAACACAGUUGACUUCCUGCUGGCCAGUCACUGCAAGUGUCUGUGCAGAAAGACCACAUCAAUUAACAUUUUUUUGUUGUUAUUUUUAUUGACUCUUCGUGAUAUUUGACACCCGAAAAUGGGAAGGAGUGUCUACCUCGGUGAGACUAAGUAACAAGAGGAAGAGACAACUGAAAACGGUUAAGAGAAACUCAGCCCAGAACAAUGUGGGACAAAGCAUUUAUUUCCUGGAGAUGCUUCUCUAAUGAAAAAGUGCUAUGAGAAAAAUUCCGCCGUCUACAGAGAAUCAGAAAUCAUUCAGAGAAAAUGGAUUAAGGCAAUUUUCCUAUACUUUUUUUAAAAGAAGCGAGCAGUGGAAACAUUUCAUUAUCUCCAUGAGAGAUUCAAAUGCACUUGUGUGUGCUGCAGGGAUAAUGGCAUUUCCUGGGACCCUGAAGGUACUUUGGCCUCAUCCCAUGCCUGGCUAUCGGUGGAAGCUUUCAGUUAUCCAAGCACAAGGAAAAUGUUUGUUUAAAUAAAAAAGGAGUAGCGUGAGGCCAGUUCUGUGGAGUUUCUUAGAGUGUUAUCUUGCAAGACUUUUUAUUUAUUAAUGGUAUUCAGCUUUGACAUUCAGAGGUCAGCCUUGUAAGGCAGCAGAUGCUUGGGACAUGUUUUCACUUGGCGAUGCUGAAGGUGAGAGAGAGCUUUGAAAGGACUGCUGGCAAAAAUGGUGUCUGAGUUUUGAAGUUUUGUAUGCACUCUGAAUAUUACCCCAUGCAGCUUGAAAUCUCAAAGAAAAGUAAAAAAUGCUAUCAUUAUUGACCAAUGGGACUGCAUUUACAAGUGUUCUCAUUUUCCUGGAAAAAAUGACAGUAAAAAUCAC
ensembl:lncRNA